CGCGGGAAUUAAAACGCCGCUGACUCUGCCCUGUAGUGACGCACACUUACUAUUGCUAGCAGGAUGGAUCUGUCAAUACACGGGGUUGAAACUUUUGAUAAUAACUGAACCGGUAGUAACCAGAUGAGUGAAGAGGAGGGAGUGUUCAAUGCAGAUUUGUAGAAGCCCAACGCAGAAGCAAAGGUCUAGAACAGACCACAGCAGAGUACAGACUAACCAUCAAAUCUGGACCCUUG
rnacentral:lncRNA from 1 species